rnacentral:ribozyme from 1 species
GCCGCUCGAAACUUUGCACACCUCUACGUGGUGGGCGGCAGGCAACACAAGUAAUUGUGGCUAAGAUGCGGAG